UGGGGAAUAUUGCACAAUGGGCGCAAGCCUGAUGCAGCCAUGCCGCGUGUGUGAAGAAGGCCUUCGGGUUGUAAAGCACUUUCAGCGAGGAGGAAGGUGGUGAGCUUAAUACGCUCAUCAAUUGACGUUACUCGCAGAAGAAGCACCGGCUAACUCCGUGCCAGCAGCCGCGGUAAUACGGAGGGUGCAAGCGUUAAUCGGAAUUACUGGGCGUAAAGCGCACGCAGGCGGUUUGUUAAGUCAGAUGUGAAAUCCCCGGGCUCAACCUGGGAACUGCAUUUGAAACUGGCAAGCUAGAGUCUCGUAGAGGGGGGUAGAAUUCCAGGUGUAGCGGUGAAAUGCGUAGAGAUCUGGAGGAAUACCGGUGGCGAAGGCGGCCCCCUGGANGAAGACUGACGCUCAGGUGCGAAAGCGUGGGGCAGCAAACAGGAUUAGAUACCCUGGUAGUCCACGCUGUAAACGAUGUCGAUUUUGGAGGUUGUGCCCCUUGAGGCGUGGNUUCCGGAGCUAACGNGUUAAAUCGACCGCCNGGGGAGUACGGCCCAAGGUUAAAACUUAAAGGAAUUGC
rnacentral:rRNA from 1 species